rnacentral:rRNA from 1 species
AGUGAACGCUGGCGGCGUGCCUAAUACAUGCAAGUCGAACGGAGGGGCGCACGGGUGAGUAAUAUAUAGCUAAUCUGCCACUUGCUGGAGGAAAACAGUUAGAAAUGAGUGCUAAUACUCCAUAGCAAGGGAUGAGACUAUAUCGUAUCAGCUAGUGGGUGGGGUAACGGCCUACCGAGGCUAUGACGCGCAACUGGUCUGAGAGGAUGAUCAGUAACAUGGGAACUGAGACACGGUCCAAACUCCUUCGGGAUGCAGCAGUAGGGAAUAAUGCGCAAUGGGGGAAACCCUGACGCAGCAACGCCGCGUGGAGGAUGACACUUUUCGGAGCGUAAACUCCUUUUGUUAGGGAAGCGGUACCUAACGAAUAAGCACCGGCUAACUCCGUGCCAGCAGCCGCGGUAAUAC